rnacentral:rRNA from 1 species
UACGUAGGGUGCGAGCGUUAAUCGGAAUUACUGGGCGUAAAGCGUGCGCAGGCGGUGAUGUAAGACAGUUGUGAAAUCCCCGGGCUCAACCUGGGAAUUGCAUCUGUGACUGCAUCGCUAGAGUACGGUAGAGGGGGAUGGAAUUCCGCGUGUAGCAGUGAAAUGCGUAGAUAUGCGGAGGAACACCGAUGGCAAAGGCAAUCCCCUGGACCUGUACUGACGCUCAUGCACGAAAGCGUGGGGAGCAAACAGG